AGAUUGAACGCUGGCGGCAGGCCUAACACAUGCAAGUCGAGCGGUAGAGAGGUGCUUGCACCUCUUGAGAGCGGCGGACGGGUGAGUAAUGCCUAGGAAUCUGCCUAGUGGUGGGGGAUAACGUUCGGAAACGGACGCUAAUACCGCAUACGUCCUACGGGAGAAAGCGGGGGACCUUCGGGCCUCGCGCCAUUAGAUGAGCCUAGGUCGGAUUAGCUAGUUGGUGAGGUAAUGGCUCACCAAGGCGACGA
rnacentral:rRNA from 1 species